GGAGGGAUGUCCGAGUCAGGUUAUGGAGCUACGUUAAGGAGACUUGUCUUCUACACCGUAGUGGUUCGCCGCCAGGGUUCGAAUCCCUGUCCCUUCA
rnacentral:tRNA from 1 species